CCCGACUGCUAUCGGAUUGAGAUUUAGCCAUGCGAGUCGAACGUCCCCCUGUUGCGGGGGGCGUGGCGUACGGCUCAGUAACACGUAGUCAACCUGCCCUGGAGACACGGACAACCCCGGGAAACUGGGACUAAUCCGUGAUAGGUCACCUCAUCUGGAAGGAGAGAUGGCCCAAAGGGGCGCGCGGGCUUCUUCUGCGCGUUCGCUCCAGGAUGGGACUGCGACCGAUCAGGCUGUUGGCGGGGUAAAGGCCCACCAAACCUGUAACCGGUACGGGCCUUGAGAGAGGUGGCCCGGAGAUGGACACUGAGAAAAGGGUCCAGGUCCUACGGGGCGCAGCAGGCGCGAAACCUUCGCAAUGCGCGAAAGCGCGACGAGGUUAAUCCNGAGUGAUUUCCGCUGAGGAGACCUUUUGUCGGAAGUAAAUUGUCCGGCGAAUAGACCGGGAGC
rnacentral:rRNA from 1 species